AGCUCCAUGUGUAGCUUCUCUUAUCGCAGCCGCAGUUCUUCAAUGCAGGCACCGUCGUGCAGGCUGCUUUUUAAAAUUAAAUUCCACCUUCUUCUAGCUCUGUUUAAAAAAAGGAAACAUUAGUGUAGCAACAAACACACACACACUAGCUGCUACACUCCAGUUUCUAGUAGUGCUCGCGUAAUGAGCAACUACGCGCUACGAGCCUGAGCCGGAGUCCGGGAUGCACGAACGAGCAAACAAUAAAAGCGCGAACCCGUCAACCGGCACCGGAUAUUACGUUUGCAAUGGUGGCACCAUUGUGCCGGGCUGCAUUAAUGGAGGAUGCUGGGUGUGAUGCGAAUAUCUUGCAAUGCAAUAAAAUCAAUCGACUCUAUUACUUCCAGCGAAUGAACAGUUGCACCGCAACUGUUACAGUGCAGCGUGCGUGUUUGGAAUGGUUUGUUAAUUUAUAGCUCUUUGUUAAUUACAGAUAAUUCCCGAAGCCAAAAGUAUUGAAAAGCGUUUGUUCGCUCGUUACUCUGUAAAUCACGCUUUUCGAUCAAUCCGUGUACCUUCGCCGCCUUUAACAACGACCAUGGCUGCACUUGCAUUAAGCGCAGGACCGCAACCGUUAAUGCACAUGCCCCGGCCCGCUUCCGCUCGACCGGAAAGCAUUCAAUCGGUAAUUAUGGCCACGACCCUCUCGGAAGUGACCCAUUCACCGCGAACGAUUAUAGCCAAUCGUUCGACAGGACCUCCCGCUGCCCAUAUCCUACCCACCCUUCGCGCUUUGAAUUGCUCCCGUUAAUAUGAUUUUAACCUUUUCAUCCCUUCGCUUUCGGGGCGUGGAAAAGGGCCAGAAACAUCGCAACCAACAGUGAAGCGAUAAUCCGGUCAACGAUCAGCAUUGUUGUACCCACGUGUGCUUGAAGAGCCGCACCAUCGCACAUUACAAGGCUGUUCGGAAGGCUGUUAAGCAACUGCGAGUGCAGAUAAUAGUCACUUAAAUUUAUGAACCCCGUUCCCUGCCACACACACACCCCGGUUUUUGGAGCGAUUUUGGUGGAUGAGGAUGAAAAUGUUCCUGUUGGAUGCAGGGAAACAAUUUUAAACAUUCCAUUAUCAGUAUGGGAGGGAAUGUUGAGGAUUUGAAAAGGCAUGGGAGAAUCGGUAAUGAUGAUGAUCGUCUAUUUUGUCCGUGCAAUCGUCUAAAAAAUGUGUUGUGCUUUCGCGUAGGCAAAGCUUUCUACUUUUCUAGUAGUUGGAUUUUUCAUUCUAUCUGCAACAAAAGAAAGCUCUGUGAGAGGUACCGCACCACACUCCGAGGUGCUAGACCGAGACAAGACUUGAUAUGAAAUGCUUGAUAUGGUGCGUCUGCCGGUUGUUAAUAACCUAAUGGAUCGCGUAUACCCCAUGUAAAACAAAGAACGUCAUGUAGUGCUUCUCAUUAUCAUACAUAUGAUAAUAUAUAGAACGGAAUAUGUGUUAUUGUUGUUGUUGCCAAUCAAA